rnacentral:rRNA from 1 species
CCGCCCGUCACACCAUGGGAGUGGGCUGCACCAGAAGUAGGCUGCUUAACUCGCAAGAGGGGGCACUUACCACGGUGUGGUUCAUGACUGGGGUG